rnacentral:lncRNA from 1 species
GGAGUCUCGGGGUCGCGUGCACCUGGGCGGCCAGGGAGGCUCCAGUGCCCGGGAGAAAGGCAAGAAAACUGAGGCACAGAGAGAUUGUCACACAGCCAGUAAGUUGACUGCAAGGCCUCUGAGGCACGGGAAUUCACAGCUGAGUUCUUGGAGAAGGUCCUUGAGCCAUCUGGAUGGCGGACAGUCUGGCACAUGAUGUGCUCAAGGUGCUGCUUGAGGCCACAGAUGUGGACAUUUCAGCCUUGAAGGCAGUGGUGCAGCUUGCUGAGCCAUACCUCUGUGAAUCUUGAGCGAGUACUUUCACCUUGGAGUGUGUGAAAGAGCUCCUCGAGCUGAAGGAACAUCAGUUGCCCCUGAAGGAGCUGGGUGGUGUUUGAUGAUUCUGGAGACAGCACUUGUAACUUGUAACUGAGCAUGUCAGCUAGGAAGGAUAGCCACUGAGCAAGCCUGUAAGGCUAUUGGUCUGCCCAUUCUGGUUUCUUCACCAAUGAGAAAACUGGGACCUGGGGAGUUUGCAGAAGCCAUCCAAGGGCACCUGCUUCUCACAGCACAGCAGCUUCCUGCAGCCCUCCCUCCUGUCUUGUUUCUCCCUUAAUUGAGAGGAGAGGCCAGAACCAGAUGCAGGCAGUUCCAACAGUAAUGAAUUGCUCUAAGGUGUGGAUCCAAGAACCGGUGACAAGGUCAGGAAAUUCCAUCCCGGGACACUGACCCAACUAAGAGACUGUGCAUGAUGGCUAAGUUCAGAGCUCUGAGGAGAUGGUAAAACUCAUUUGCAACGAAACAAGAUAUUUUCCAACUCUGCAGCCAGGUGCAGAAAGCUGGAAGUGAUGCUCCAGGGAGUUUAUGUCUCCCCAUCUUGACCCACACCAAUACCUGAGGCUCGUUGCUUUGAUUCAAGUCCGGACAAGCUCUAAGGUUCAGCUCACACUGGGAGUCACGCUGCAGGAGCUCCUGGGAGUCUGUGAACGGUGGUGAUGCAGAAAAGCAAAGCGUGUAUAUCUGUUUUAGUCCUCCCUCAGAUCUGCUGAGGACACCUUGAGCCUGAAGUGAAAUCACAGUGGCUCUCAGGAAGAAGGGUGACUGUCUGGUGUGCAGUUGUGCUGCCACGGCAAAGGGAACUUUAAAACAUAGAACUGCCAUGUAGAAGCUCAGGAAAUAUCCAUGGUCUGUCAUCUCUUUUGGUCAUAGAAUCAAAAAAAAUGGAAGACGAGAAAAGGCAGUGAAGACUGACAGCCUGUUGGUUGCUAUUCCAGUCGUGUCUGCUCCAUACGCGCCCUCCAUCUCAUCCCACCCAGUCAGUAUAUUUUCACCAGGCAGUGUUGCAGAAAUGUCUGUGGACUCCAGUUCUAUUGCAGUCAGGCAGCAUUUACAGGUUUGACUUUCAACUGACCAUGGCAGGAAGUCUAGAGGCAAUUAUAGCCAACACCUGCUCUAUGUGCGUGCCGGGCAGGUGGUGGCUGAUUCCUUGCCUCCAAUCCAUGAUGUGUUUCCUAUCAGCUCAGAAUAAUAACAGUGACACCUCUGCUUCUUCUCUGUCUGGGGGAGCUCAAGGCACUUUACUCUGAAAACCCUCAAAUUACUGGCAUUUCUUUUAGUGAAGAUAUCAAAUUAAUGACUGAAAAAAAUGUAGAAGAUGGUUAUUGGUGAUGUUAAAAGACAAGUUUAACCCACUUCCACACAACAUGUCUUACAAGCGUAAAGUAUUUGAGUAGAGAAAACUAUGAAUCUAAAAUUGAACAAGAUGUGAAUUUAGACAGACAGCGUUUGUGGUCACAGAUGUGCCGAGAUGAAGACUGGAGGAAGGGCACAGUUUCUGUAGCAGUGACUUCCACCCAGGGUGUGUCUUGCUAUUGUGUGAAAUGAUUUUUGACACUGGACAAAUCUCUACUUCCACUUACAAUGUUUUGCCAGCUAGCUGAGGCAUUCUGGGAGGGUGAGGAGCCUGGGCUUGGGCUGACCUCAGGAAAUCCUGUGUAAAGGGCUUUUGCACACUCAGAAGCAGGCCAGGUUCACCGCUGUUAUGUGCAAUAUUCACUCCUGGCUCUUGCUUCUGAGCCUUGGCAAACCUGAGUCCUAAGAGGCCAAUGAAAAGGAAAACACGUUAAGGAGCCAGGGCGCUUCUUGGAUAUCAGCCUGAAUAGUUCUGUUUCAUCUGGACCCCAAUUUUACUCUCCUGCUGUUUUACACGGAACUAAAAAGAGCUUUACAGAGGACCAGAUAGACUGCAGGUCCCUAGGCAGUCAGGGGCCAGGCAAGGCAUAGGAGGGUGUCAGGCCUCUGAGCUCAAACUAGGCCAUCAUAUCCCCUGUGACCUGCACGUACACAUCCAGAUGGCUGGUUCCUGCCUUAACUGAUGGCAUUGUCUUGUGAAAUUCCUUCUCCUGGCUCAUCCUGGCUCAAGAGCUCCCCUACUGAGCACGUUGUGACCCCCACUCCUGCCUGCCAGAGAACAACCCCCCUUUGACUGUAAUUUUCCUUUACCUACCCAAAUCCUAUAAAAUGGCCCCACCCCUAUCUCCCUUCACUAACUCUCUUUUCGGACUCAGCCUGCCUGCACCCAGGUGAAAUAAACAGCCUUGUUGCUCACACAAAGCCUGUUUGGUGGUCUCUUCACAGGGACUCGCAUGAAAUUUGGUGCUGUGGCUCGGAUAGGGGGACCUCCCUCGGGAGAUCAAUCCCCUGUCCUCCUGCUCUUUGCUCCAUGAGAAAGAUCCACCUACGACCUCAGGUCCUCAGACCAAGCAGCCCAAGAAACAUCUCACCAAUUUCAAAUCUGGAAAGCAGCCUCUUUUUACUCUCUUCUCCAACCUCCCUCAAUAUCCCUCAACCUCUUUCUCUUUUCAAUCUUGGUGCCACACUUCAAUCUCUCCCUUCUCUUAAUUUCAAUUCGUUUCAUUUUCUGGUAGAGACAAAGGAGACACGUUUUAUCUGUGGACCCAAAACUCCGGCGCCGGUCACGGCCUGGGAAGGCAGCCUUCCCUUGGUGUUAAUCAUUGCAGGGAUGCCUCUCUGAUUAUUCACCCACGUUUCAGAGGUGUCGGACCACACAGGGACGCCUGCCUUGGUCCUUCACCCUUAGUGGCAAGUCCUGCUUUUCUGGGGGAGGGGCAAGAACCCCAACCCCUUCUCUCCAUGUCUCUACCUCUUCUCUGCUUUUCUGGGGGAGGGGCAAGAACCCCUCAACCCCUUCUCCUUCACCCUUAAUGGCAAGUCCCACUUUUCUGGGGGAGGGGCAAGAACCCCUCAACAUCUUGUCCUUCACUGUUAGCAGCAAGUCUCACUUUUCUGGGGGAGGGGCAAGAACCCCUCAAACCCUUGUCCUUCACCGUCAGCAGCAAGUCCCGCUUUUCUGGGAGAGGGGCAAGAACCUCUCAACCCCUUCUCCUUCACCCUUAGAGGCAAGUCCCGCUUUUCUGGGGGAGAGGCAAGAACCCCUUAUUUCCACAGCCCGACCUCUUAUCUCUGUGCCCUGAUCCCUUAUUUCUGUGCCCUGACCUCUUAUCUCUGCACCCCAACCCCUUAUUUCUGCACCCCCACCUCUUUCCCACUUUUCUGGAGGGUAAGAACCCCCGAACCCCUUCCCUCCAUGUCUCUACUCUCUCUUUUCUCUAGCCUUGCUUCCUUCACUAUGGGCAACCUUCCACCCUCCAUUCCUCCUUCUUCUCCCUUAGCCUGUGUUCUCAAGAACUUAAAACCUCUUCAACUCACACCUGACCUAAAACCUAAAUGCCUUAUUUUCUUCUGCAAUGCCGCUUGAUCCCAAUACAAACUUGGCAGUAGUUCCGAAUAGCCGGAAAACAGCACUUUCAAUUUUUCCAUCCUACAAGAUCUAAAUAAUUCUUGUCGUAAAAUAGGCAAACAGUCUGAGGUGCUGACGUCCAGGCAUUCUUUUACACAUUGGUCCCUCCCUAGUCUCUGUUCCCAAUGCAACUCGUCCCAAAUCUUCCUUCUUUCCCUCCCACCUGUCCCCUCAGUCCCAACCCCAAGUGUCGCUGAGUCUUUCUAAUCUUCCUUUUCUACAGACCCAUCUGACCUCUCCCCUCCUCUCCAGGCUGAGCUAGGUCCCAAUUCCUCCUCAGCUUCCGCUCCUCCACCCUGUAAUCCUUUUAUCACCUCGCCUCCUCACACCCAGUCCGGCUUACAGUUUCGUUCCUUGACUAGCCCUCCCCCACCUGCCCAGCAAUUUACUCUUAAAAAGGUGGAUGGAGCUAAAAGCAUAGUCAAGGUUAAUGCUCCUUUUUCUUUAUCCCAAAUCAGACAGCGUUUAGGCUCUUUUUCAUCAAAUAUAAAAAUCCAGCCCAGUUCAUGGCUCGUUUGGCAGCAACCCUGAAAUGCUUUACAGCCCUAGACCCUAAAAGGUCAAAAGGCCAUCUUAUUCUCAAUAUACAUUUUAUUACCCAAUCUGCUCCCGACAUUAAAUAAAACUUCAAAGAUUAAAUUCCAGCCCUCAAACCCCACAACAGGAUUUAAUUAACCUUGCCUUCAAGGUGUACAAUAAUAGAGUAGAGGCAGCCAAGUAGUAACAUAUUUCUGAGUUGCAAUUCCUUGUCUCCACCAUGAGACAAACCCCAGCCACAUCUCCAGCACACAAGAAUUUCCAAAUGCCUAAACCGCAGUGGCCAGGCAUUCCUCCAGCACCACCUCCCCCAGAAGCUUGCUACAAGUGCCAGAAAUCUGGCCACCAGGCCAAGGAAUGCCCGCAGCCCGGGAUUCCUCCUAAGCCAUGUCCCAUCUGUGGGGGACCCCACUGGAAAUCGGACUGUUCAACUCACCUGGCAGCCACUCCCAGAGCCCCUGGAACUCUGGCCCAAGGCUGUCUGACUGACUUCUUCCCAGAUCUUCUCGGCUUAGUGGCUGAAGACUGACAUGCCCGAUCGCCUCAGAAGCCCGAUAGACCAUCAUGGAUGCCGAGCUUUAGGGAGAAACGCGAAUGGAUGCGAGGUGGUGCAAAAUCCACAAAGGAGCUCCAGGGGACGUGGCAGGAUCCCUCUGCUAUGACUGUGCUGCAUAAGAGUCUGAGCCCACGCCAACCUAGAGUGAUUCUAAAGACCAUUUCCACAUGGAGAAGCUGCCAGAACAAGCACUGCUACCCUUGGAGGCCAUUGACAUUGUGAGGUCGCUGGGACUGAAAGGAGGUUGACCAGAAGUUCUGUUUGGCAAUGCAAAGCCAGGAGGAAAAGUUAAUGGAGUUUGUCCCCCGGGUCCCAAGAAAGCUGACCCAGGACGAUGAAGCUAGAAUUUGUGUUCUAGGAGGUGCUGCUUCUUCCAGGAAAGUCUACUCAAAGCACACACUGUGAGCUGCUGCAUGUCUCUUGAGCUAGUUCACUGCAGUUUUCAUGAUGAAAGUGAUCUGUUUCAGUAAACUUUCUGUUAUUUGAGAGCAUGGGAAAAAUAUUUGCUGUGAUUUCCCAAUUCCCCAUUUUUUCUGAUUCUUUGUUGCAGUUUCCACAACUUUGUUAUCAGGCUGUGACAGAGGUUUGUGAACUGAUGAAAGCUCCAGAGCCUCCCAGGCCCUCUGAGUCUGAUGCCUGCACUCCACAAUCAGGCCUCAAGCUCAGGGCGCCUGCCACCAACCCACGCUGGGCUUCAGGGGCAGGCAGCACUUGAAUGGGGUUUGGUUAUUGUCUUUCUUUAUUUUCUCUUAUUUUAAGCCUUAAAAAAAAAAAGAUAAGGUCUUGCUCUAUUGCCCAGGCUGGAGAGAAAUGGUGUGAUCAUAGCUCACUGCAGCUUUGAAUUCCUGGGUUCAACCGAUCCUCCCACCUAAGCCUCCCGAGUAACCAGGACUGCAAGUAUGCACCACCACACCCAGUUAAUUAAAUUUGUGUGUGUGUGUGUGUGUAGAGGUGGGUUCUUGCUUUGUUGCCCAGGCUGGUCUUGAACUCUUGAGUUCAGACAAUCCUGCCACCUCAACCUCACAAAGUGCUGGAAUUACAGGCGUGAGCCACUGCACUCAGCCUCCUUAAGCCAUUUGCUUAAGUGGCUUUAUUGCAAAACAAUAUCAGAAUAACAAAGAAAUAUAAGGUCAAACUUUCCCUGUUCCCAUCUAGUCCAAUAAGCAUUGCUGCUCUUGCCAGGGAUUCUCGCCCAUCUCCAUGUGCCAGUGCAAUCCAUACUGGUUGUUCUCCUUGGCUACCCCACAUCUGAGUCUCUGCCUUGUCUGCAUUCUUCCCCACUUUAUGAAGAGAUGAGUCAGUGCCUGAUUUUUUCUGCCUCUCUUGUCACUAGGGCACAGCCAUGUGCAUGGGCCCUGUCACUCAGAAGCCCCCAUCCACCAACAACAUGGCUCUGGGGGCCUCCUCUCUCUGGAAGAAUUGGCAGUUUUAGCAAGAAAGGUUUUCAGAGGCAGCAAUGAUGGUGGAGAUGUCCAGGGCCAGUGGCAGGUCAAACCAUUCUCUGUGUCAUUUGGGGCAGUGUUUAUGCUGUCCCUCAUUUUGGUUCCCUAAGCCUCCGAACAUGUACGUGAAUUUCCGAAUAUUCUCAAUUAAAUUGUUUUUCUGUUGAAAUUGGCCUGGUUGCUUUCAACUAUGACAAACCUAGCUAUAUAAGUAUUAUUUUGUAGUGUUGGGAUUGAUAGAACUUUAUGUUCUACACAUUAGCAGAAUACCAUGUGUAUUUUUCCAUUUGACAUAAUCUUUUAUCUUUCCAUUGAUAAGUAUUAUUACUAUUUAGUGAUAUAUUAUUUGAGUUCUCUUGCCCCUUUUGGGUAGCCCAUGUUAACAGUAAUACCCAGCUGCUACACUGAGAGCCUCUGAGACUUACUGGCUUCAGGGGAGACAGCACAUUAUCAGCUGUGGUGGCCAUGGCCGAGACUCCUUUUGCCUGAGAAAAGCAGAGGAAAAUGUAGAAGGGACUUCGUCUUGCAUCUGAGACACCAGCACAGCCACAGGGUGGUAGAGCACCAAGGGGGCUUUUGGAAUCUUUGAUUCUGGGAUGUGGCUCUUGGAAGGCAUUUCUGGACUUGCCCUGGGCCAGGGGGAGCCCACUGUCUUAAAGGGUGAGUCCCAGGCCAGGCAGCAUUUGCCACAGUCGACUGAAGAGCCCUGGGGGCCUUCAAGGGACAUAGAAGGUAAUCUGAAAGUACUCCGCAUAGGCCUGUGGGGUGGUGGCCAUGGGGCAAGGCUGCCCUGCCUCUGGAAAGGGUAGGAGAGAGUGAGAAAGACUGCAUCCUGUUGUCCGAGUGCCAGCUCAGCCACAGUACAAUAGAACACCAGCUAGGCUCCCAGCCAGCACCUCUGGACCAGCCUGGAAACUGGGGGUAACUCAUCGCCCUGAAGGGAAGGACAAAGGCCUGGCUGGCUUUGCCGUCUGCUGAUUGUUGAGCCCUAGGCGGGGAGCGGUUACAGUCGGCCUUGGGUGAGACUCAGAGCUGCACUGGCUUCAGGUCUGACUCAGCACAGUCACAGUGAUGGUGGCCACAGGGGUGCUUAUGUCACUCUAUCCCAGCUUUAGGUGGCUCAGAACAGACACACUCCAUUUCUUUGGGAGAAAGUAAGAAAGAGAACAAGAGUCUCUCUGAUAAUCCAGAGAGUUCUCCCAGAUCUUGUCCAAGAUCAUCAAGGCAAUACCACUGAGUCUGCAAAAACUGCAGUGUUACUGGGCUUGGGGUGCCCCCUAAAACAGAUACAACUUAGAUCACAACACCCAUGGCCUUUUAAAUAUGUGAAAAGCCUUCCCAAGAAGGACGGGUACAAACAAGCCCAGAUAGCAAAGGCUACAAUAAAUACCUAACUCUUCAAUUCCAGACACAAAUGGACACCUACAAGUAUCAAGACAUUCCAGGAAAAAAAUGACCUCACCAAAUGAACUAAAUAAAGCAUCAGGGACCCAUCCUGAAGAAACAGAUACGUGACCUUUUAGACAGAGAAUACAAAAUAGCCACUCUGAGGAAACUCAAAGAAAUUCAAGAUAACACAGAGAAGGAAUUCAGAAUUCUAUCAGAUAAAUUUAACAAAGAGAUUGAAAUCAUUCAAAAUGAUCAAACAGAUACUGUGGAGAUAAAAAAUGGAAUUGGCAUACUAAAGAAUGCAUCAGAGUCUUAAUAAUAGAAUUAAUCAAGUAGAAGAAAGAAUUAGCUUGAAGACAGGCUAUUUCAAAAUACACAGUUAGAGGACUCAAAAGAAAAUAGAAUAAAAAAUAAUGAAGCAUGUCAAAGAAUCUAGAAAAUAGCCUCAAAAGGACAAAUCUAAGAGUUAUUGGCCUUAAAGGGGAGACAAAGAAAGAGAUAAGGGUAGAAUGUUUAUUCAAAGGGAUAAUAACAGAGACUUUUCGAAACCCGGAUAAUAAUAUCAAUAUCCAAGUACAAGAAAACAGAACACCAAGCAGAUUAAAUCCAAAGAAGACUGCCUCAAGGCAUUUAAUAAUCAAAUUCUAAAGAUCAAGGGUAAAGAAAGGAUCCUAAAAGUAACAAGGGAGAAGAAACAGAUAACAUACAAUGGAUCUCCAGUAUGUCUUGCAGUGGACUUUUCAGUGGAAACCUUAAAGUCCAGGAGAGAGUGGCACAACACAUUUAAAGUGCUGAAAGAAAGAAACUUUUACCCUAGAAUAGUAUAUCCAGCAAAAAUAUUCUUCUAACAUGAAGAAAAAAUAAAGACUUUCCCAGGCAAACAAAAGCUGAGGGAUUUUAUCAGCACUAGACCUGUCUUAUGAGAAAUGCCAAAGGGAGUACUUCAAUCAGAAAGAAAAGGAUGUUAGUAAGUAAUCAUGCGAAAGUACAAAAUUCAUGGGUAAUAGUAAGCACACAGAAAAACACAGAAUUUUAUAUCCCUGUAACUGUGAUGUGUAAACUACUAUUAUUCUAAGUAGAAAAACUAAAUGAUGAACCAAUCAAAAAUAAUAACUAUAACAAUUUUUCAAGCCAUAGACAGUACUAUAAGAUAUAAAUAGAAACAACAAAAAGUUUAAAAUCAGGACAAAGUUAAGACGUAGAGUUUUUAUUAGUUUCCUUUUUUUUUGCUUCUUUGUUUCUUUGUUUAUGCAAACAAUGUUAAGUUGUUAUCAGCUUAAAGUAACAGGUCAUAAAGAAGCCAGUCAUGGUGUCUCACACUUGUAAUGCCAGCACUUUGAGAGUCCAAGGUGGGUGGAUCACUUGAGGUCAGAAGUUUGAGACCAGCCUGGCCAAUAUGGCGAAACCCCAUCGCUACUAAAAAUACAAAAAUUAGCCAGGUAUGGUGGCACAUGCCUGUAAUCCCAGCUACUCAGGAGGCUGAGGCAUGAGAACCCAGAAUGUGGAGGUUGAAGUAAGCCAAGAUCACACCACUGUACUCCAGCUUGGAUGACAGAGCAAGACUCUGUUUCAGAAGGAAAAAAAAAAGUCAUAAGAUAGUAUUUGCAAGCCUCAUAGUGACCUCAAACCAUAAAAACAUACAAUGAAUACACAAAAAGUAAAAAGCUAGAAACUAAAUCAUAUUACUAGAGAAAAAUCACUUUCACUAAAGGAAGGAAAGAAAGAAGGCAGAGAACAUCACAGAACAACUAGAAAACAAGUUAACACAAUGGCGGGAGUAAGUUCUUACUUAUCAAUAUUAACAUUGAUUGUAAAUAAGAACACCAAUAAAAUGAAAGAUUACAUCAAGUUAAAAAGUUAAAAAGCUUCUGCACAGCAAAGGAAACAGUCAAUAAAGUGGUAACCCCGCAGAGUGGGCAAAAAAUAUUUGCAAACUACCCAUGUGACAAGGGAUUAAUAACCAGAAUAUAUAAGGAGCUCAAACAACUCUAGAGAAAAACAAAUCUAAUAAUCUGAUCAAAAAAUAGGCAAGAUAUUUGAAUAGACAUUUCUCAAAAAAGACAUACAAAUGGCAAACAGUCAUAUGAAAAGGUGCUCAACAUCAUUGAUCAUCAGAACAAUGCAAAUAAAAACUACAAUGAAAUGUCAUCUCAUCCCUGUUAAAAUCGAUUGUAUCCAAAAGACAGGCAAAAACAAAUGCUGGUGAAAUGUGGAGAAAAGGGAACCCUCAUACACUGUUGGUGGGAAUGUAAGUUAGCCCAACCACUAUGAAUAGUGGUUUGAAGGUUCCUCAAAAAGCUAAAUAUGGAGCUACCAUAUGGUUCAGCCAUCCCACUGCUGGGUAUAGACCCAAAAGAAAGGAAAUCAGUAUAUUGAAGAGAUGUCUGCACUCCCGUGUUUGUUUCAGCACUGUUCACAGUAGCAAAGAUUUUGAAACAACCCAAGUGUCCCUCAAUAGAUGAAUAGAUAAACGAAAUGUGGUGCUUUUACACAAUGGAGUACUGUUCAGCCAUAAAAAUGAAUGAGAUCCUGUUCUUUACAACAACAUGGGUGGAAAUGAAGAUCAUUAUAUUAAGUGAUAUAAGCCAGACACAGAAAGACAAACAUUACAUCUUCUCAUGUACUUAUGGGAUCUGAAGAUCAAAAUAAUUGAACUCCAUGGACAUAGAGAGUAGAAGAAUGGUUACCAUAGGCUGGGAUUAGUAGUGGGACAGGUGGGGCAGGGGGCAGGUUAGGACAGGUAAUAGGUACAAAAAUAAUAGGAAGAAUGAAUAAGACCUACUAUUUGUUAGCAUAAAAUGGUACUUGUAAUCAAUUACACUUAAUUAUAUGUUUUAAAAUAACUCAAAGAGUAUAAUUGGAUUCUUUGUAACACAAAGAAUAAAUGUUUGAGGAGAUGGAUACCCUAUUCAGCAUGAUGUGUUAUUAUGCAUUGCAGGCCUGUAUCAAAGCAUUUCAAGUACGCUAUAGAUAUAUACACCUACUAUGUACUCACAAAAAUUAACAAAUUAAAAAAUUAAAGAAAACAGAGUGAGAAUGGGAUGGUGAGCAGGUGGUAUAAGGUAUAUGAUAUUGGUGUUCAGACUGUUAUCCAAAACCCUAAGAAUAGGCCAGGUGCGGUGGCUCACACCUGUAAUCCCAGCACUUUGCGAGGCUGAGGCGGGUAGAUCAUGUGGUGAGGAGUUCAAGACCAGCCUGGCCAAGAUGGUAAAACCCUGUCUCUAGUAAAAAUACAAAAAUUAGCCAGGCAUGGUGGUGGGCGCCUGUAAUCCCAGCUACUUAGGAGGCUGAGGCAGAGAAUUGCUUGAACCCAGGAGGCAGAGGUUGCAGUGAGCUGAGAUCAUGCCACUGCACUCCAGCCUGGGCAACAGAGCGAGACUCUGUCUCAAAAAAAAAAGGCAAAAAAAACAAAAAAAUAAAAAACCCAACCCGUCCUCCCCCCCCCCCCCCCCGCAAAACCCUAAGAAUAAAGUUCAGUCAUUUUUUUUGCAAAUACUACUUGGGACCAACAUGGUGCCUGCUACACACGAGGCAUUUGAUUAAUCUGUGUUAAGCGAAUAAAAGAAUCUAGCUAAAGUCAUUAUAGCUAACAUCAUCAUACCUAAUGUUGAUUCUAAGAAGACUAAUAUUAUAUAUUGAAAUCUACAGUAAUCAGAUGUGUUAGUAGGAAAUAAUAUUAUUAACAUAAUCCAGGAGCAUGAAUUUAAUUCUCCCACUAAUAUACUCUUCAAUCAAUAGAGUGCGUCCUCUUUAUGGCUGUGUCCCUACUGUAUGGAAUGCUUGAAAUAAAAGGCAGUAGUUUAAGGAGUCUCACUCUGCAGCUCUCUUCUUUAAAUAUAGACAGUUUAUCUGCCAUGGUGGGGGUCUUCUGGAAGUUCUCUCGCCUACAAAGCAGGCAGUCAUCAUUUUAAUAUUUAUUCAUCACCAUUUAGAUGGCAGGAUUUAUGUUAAGAAAUCGGGUGAACAAAACAGACGUGGUCUUUGCCUUGCAGAGUUUACAAUCUGAUGGGGGAGAUGGGAAUUAAAAAGCCAAAUCCUUAACAUGAGAUAUGACUCUAACUGUUUCAAGGACUAAGAAGAGAGAAUGAAAGAAGAGGCCAAUUUUUGAUCAGGGGAUGAGGCAAGACCUCUCCGAAUAUGUUGCUUUUAGGGAGACUGUCCCUGACAUUUGAAUCAGAAUGAAUGAAUGGUUUUGACCAUGUUGACUGUGUUAUAAAGAAAUCAUCCCAAAGAUGCUUUGCAUCUAGUAAAACGCUCAAUACAUAUUAGCAAUGACUGUGAUACACACUUUUACGGUCAUCUUCUCAUGGCCUUAUCAACAUGCUGUAGGCCCAUGAGUAGACUUACUGGGUAUGGCUUUCCCAAGGUACAGAUUUAUAAAUGAAUUGGCUGAGACUUGAACGUAAUUUUCCUUAUGGCUACAUCGGUGCUUAUUUCUCCAAAGCUAUUUUGGAAUGGAGCAUGCAGUUAUUGGGGUCUAUGCAUUAUCUUCAUGAGCAUGUAAGUUGCUUGGGGGAACUCUUCCCACAGCUCUGUUAAAGCAGUCAAGCCCUUGUGCCAAGCUCGGGGGCGCUUCAUGUGCACCUUGCUAAAUUCAAGGACAGUUGGGCCAUUCAGGAAGCACAUGGAGUUGGGUGUGACAUGCCUCUUUCUUCUCCCUUCUGACUCUGUCAUUUCUUAAAGACUCUCAUGAAACUAAUGACAAGAUGAGGCAAGAAAUCACAUUACACUUUAUAAGGGGCUAAUUAGGUAGAUAUGUUAAAAAGUGUUCCCCGUGGUGCUGUUUCACGGUUGCGCUGUUGGUAAUCAGCACUUGCCUUCAGAAUGUCAGGAUAUGAAAAGCGGAGUGGCUUGCCUUGCUGGGUUCUGCUGCGCAGAUGAAAUGAGUGAAGUGGAGUCUUGGGAAUGUGCUCCUCUAGCAGAGUGCGAGUCCUUUGAAGGGAUACUUUCGUCUGGUAGUGUAUAUACUUUGGUCCUGGCUGAUCCUUUGAGCAUUCAAGCAGAUGUACAAGCUCUUCAAGAGAUCCCUCCAGCCUCCAGUAUAGAGUUUCCUUGGCUUAAAUAAGAUGUUUAUGGGCUGGUGCUAGGGGGUGGUGGGGAGUCCAGGUGAAAAGCUUUUGGAGGUUGAGGUGGGCUUCUCAGCUGACUCUGAAUUAGCACAUCCAUCCAUGAACAGCAGGCCCCUAGACAGAUAUUGGUCAUGCUGAGAUUCAAAGUGGGGAGACGCACUUUUCCCAAAAAGAAAAACCUGUCGCACCAUUUGCCUUCAGUGUGCUUCAGGCUGAAAACCUAAACAGCCAUGCUAUCAGUUCUGGGUGAGCAGACUAUACCAGGGGAAGAAUGGAAAUGAGAGUGAGGAAGUUCCUGGAGCACAUCUGGGUUGAGGACACACAGGGAGAAUGAUCAGAACCAUCCCUGGCUCAUCUUUGGGGCCUGUUAGGGUUCCUACCCUGCAAACAACAGUGUCUGAAUAAUCUAUGUUAAAAGGGAUUUAUGGGACAUAUAAUGUGGGCUGAAGAAACGGGUUUGGGAAGCUCAAGAUGCCCAAGGAUGGGAAAUCUUCGUCCCCUCCAUGUGGCUGGCAACAUGUGGCCACUGCUGCCACUGCAGAGGACAACUCGAGUGAUUCUGGAUUCUAAGUACUCAAAGUCCUGGAGGAACCAUCUGGGUAGGGGGCUUGGGCCACAGACCCAUUCCCAAAGAGUAAGGAGUCCCCUUUUACUCUCUUCAGUGAGAGACAAGAUGCUGGGGAGGUUUGCCUCAAGGACAUGACAUGAAAAGAGUAGGUCACCAAAUGAAAUCCAGCUGCUUUUAGAAGGGGAAAUGAACACUAGGCAGCCAGAAAGUGACAAAGGACAAGUAUGCCUGGGUGGGUGCAGAGUCUUGGGCCUCAGGGACCCUGGCACUGAGUGGGAACCUGGUCUGUGCUCGGAUCUCCUGCUGAAACUCAGCCAGCUCUCUGCUCAGCCAGGCACUCCUGUGCUGUCCAAUAGAGUGGCCGCUACCCACAUGUGCUGAUUUAAAUGUAAAUAAAUUAAAAGUGUAUAGAAUUAAAUGUCCAGUUCCUCAGUUGCACCUGCCACAUUCAAGUGCUCACGGGUCUUACAUGGCUAGUGGCUGCCACAUGGGCUGAUAUGGAUAAAAAUAUUUCUGCCAUUUUAAAGUGUUUUAUGAGAUAGCUGUAGAGGUUCAAUAGCCAACCAGGCCUUUCUCCUUAUCUCCGUCUUAUAGGACAUCAAUUCCAAGGACGUUUUACCCUAUGUUUGUCUAUGGAAAGAGAUUGGGCAUCAGAUGUGGAAAUGAGAAAUUAUAUUUACAUAUUUUGCCUUUUUCUGUUUUUGUUGGUGGGUGAUAUGACAACAUGGGUAAAUGCAG